GUGCUUGCUUCAACAGCACAUAUACCAAAACUGGAGUGAUACAGAGAAUAUUAGGAUGCCCCUGCCCAAGGAUGGAUAGUAUUUGACAGCAAAUAUUUAUUUGU
ensembl:snRNA U6 U6 spliceosomal RNA